ensembl:snoRNA
AAGCUACACUCUGUGUCAGAUAUUUGAAACAGUGAUUUGGCACAAUUUCAGCUUGCCAAAGCAAACUACAGUCUAACCUAUUCCAGCACUCUCUGUUUUUGGGAUUUGCUGUUAACUGGGCUGUUACAAA